rnacentral:lncRNA from 1 species
GCAGGACUCGGGACAAUCUUCAUCAUGACCUGCUCCCCUCUCCUCCUCACCCUUCUCAUUCACUGCACAGGGUCCUGGGCCCAGUCUGUGUUGACGCAGCCGCCCUCAGUGUCUGCGGCCCCAGGACAGAAGGUCACCAUCUCCUGCUCUGGAAGCAGCUCCAACAUUGGGAAUAAUUAUGUAUCCUGGUACCAGCAGCUCCCAGGAACAGCCCCCAAACUCCUCAUUUAUGACAAUAAUAAGCGACCCUCAGGGAUUCCUGACCGAUUCUCUGGCUCCAAGUCUGGCACGUCAGCCACCCUGGGCAUCACCGGACUCCAGACUGGGGACGAGGCCGAUUAUUACUGCGGAACAUGGGAUAGCAGCCUGAGUGCUGGCACACCCCCUGCCCGGCCAGCCACCCCGUCCGGGAGGGAGGUCAGCCCAAGGCUGCCCCCUCGGUCACUCUGUUCCCGCCCUCCUCUGAGGAGCUUCAAGCCAACAAGGCCACACUGGUGUGUCUCAUAAGUGACUUCUACCCGGGAGCCGUGACAGUGGCCUGGAAGGCAGAUAGCAGCCCCGUCAAGGCGGGAGUGGAGACCACCACACCCUCCAAACAAAGCAACAACAAGUACGCGGCCAGCAGCUAUCUGAGCCUGACGCCUGAGCAGUGGAAGUCCCACAGAAGCUACAGCUGCCAGGUCACGCAUGAAGGGAGCACCGUGGAGAAGACAGUGGCCCCUACAGAAUGUUCAUAGGUUCUCAACCCUCACCCCCCACCACGGGAGACUAGAGCUGCAGGAUCCCAGGGGAGGGGUCUCUCCUCCCACCCCAAGGCAUCAAGCCCUUCUCCCUGCACUCAAUAAACCCUCAAUAAAUAUUCUCAUUGUCAAUC